rnacentral:rRNA from 1 species
GAGUUCAAGAGUACGUGAAACUGCUUAGAGGUUAAGCCCGAUGAACCUGAAUAUCCGUUAUGAAAAAUUCAUCACUAAUACUAUGAUAUUUAUAAUAUUAUAGAAAUAGUGUGCAAUUUUUUCAUAUAAGGACAUUGUAAUCUGUUAAUGUAAUAAAUAUUUAUUAAAAGAUCUUAUACACAAGUUUAUUCAAAUUAGUUAUUUUCGAAUUUCUAACAUAGAGUAAAUGUAUUUGAUUUAAUAAAUCAUUGACAGAUUUAAUUAUAAUAUAGUGCUUAAAUUUUGAACGAAAUUUUACAAUAAUAUGAUAAUUCAAUUUAUUAUGUUUAUUGUAUGCGCUUAUAUGAUUAACAAUGCGAUAGAUUCAGGAUACCUUCGGGACCCGUCUUGAAACACGGACCAAGGAGUCUAACAUAUGUGCAAGUCAUUGGGUAUUUUUAAUAAAACCCAAUGGCAUAAUUAACUUAACUGUUUUUUAAAUGGGAUUAGUUUAUAUUUUAUUAUGAAAUAUUAAUUCAAUCCCGGGGCGUUCUAUAUAGUUAUACAUAAUGAUAUUUAUAUUAUUUAUGCCUCUAACU